AGAGACUCCGUCUCAAAAAAAAAAAAAAAAGAAACAAUACAGAGAAGAUUAGCAGCGCCUGUGAGCAAGGAUGACAUGCAAAUUCUUGAAGCAUUUCAUAUUUUG
ensembl:snRNA U6 U6 spliceosomal RNA